AGUGAACGCUGGCGGUAUGCCUAACACAUGCAAGUCGAACGGCAGCACAGUAAUAGCUUGCUCGUACGGGUGGCGAGUGGCGGACGGUUGAGGAAUACAUCGGAAUCUACUUUUUCGUGGGGGAUAACGUAGGGAAACUUACGCUAAUACCGCAUACGACCUACGGGUGAAAGCAGGGGAUCUUCGGACCUUGCGCGAUUGAAUGAGCCGAUGUCGGAUUAGCUAGUUGGCGGGGUAAAGGCCCACCAAGGCGACGAUCCGUAGCUGGUCUGAGAGGAUGACCAGCCACACUGGAACUGAGGCACGGUCCAGACUCCUACGGGAGGCAGCAGUGGGGAAUAUUGGACAAUGGGCGAAAGCCUGAUCCAGCAAUGCCGCGUGGGUGAAGAAGGCCUUCGGGUUGUAAAGCACUUUUGUUGGGAAAGAAAAGCAGCAGGUUAAUACCCCGCUGUGCUGACGGUACCCAAAGAAUAAGCACCGGCUAACUUCGUG
rnacentral:rRNA from 1 species